rnacentral:rRNA from 1 species
UACGGGGGGGGCAAGCGUUGUUCGGAAUUACUGGGCGUAAAGGGCUCGUAGGUGGCCAACUAAGUCAUACGUGAAAUCCCUCGGCUUAACCGGGGAACUGCGUCUGAUACUGGAUGGCUUGAGUUUGGGAGAGGGACGCGGAAUUCCAGGUGUAGCGGUGAAAUGCGUAGAUAUCUGGAGGAACACCGGUGGCGAAGGCGGCGUCCUGGGCCAACACUGACACUGAGGAGCGAAAGCCAGGGGAGCAAACGGG